rnacentral:rRNA from 1 species
AACGCUAGCUACAGGCUUAACACAUGCAAGUCGAGGGGCAGCAUAAAGGUAGCAAUACUUUGGUGGCGACCGGCGCACGGGUGAGUAACACGUAUGCAACCUACCUGUAAGAGGGGAAUAACCCGGAGAAAUUCGGACUAACACCGCAUAAUACCAAUUAACUGCAUGGUUGAUUGGUUAAAUAUUUAUAGCUUACAGAUGGGCAUGCGUAACAUUAGAUAGUUGGUGAGGUAACGGCUCACCAAGUCAACGAUGUUUAGGGGUUCUGAGAGGAAGGUCCCCCACACUGGUACUGAGAUACGGACCAGACUCCUACGGGAGGCAGCAGUGAGGAAUAUUGGUCAAUGGGCGAGAGCCUGAACCAGCCAAGUAGCGU